rnacentral:misc_RNA from 1 species
AAACGUACUAGUAAAAGUCCCAAAAGGCGUGAUGCUAGCAAAAGCCCUAGCAGGAGCAGAAGCAGGAGCCGAAGCAAGAGCAAGAGCAAGAGUCCUUCACGAUGAAGAUGGAGGCAGAGCUGUUGUCGAUUUCCACUGCGGCGGAGUGAAGUUGGAAUCAGAGUAUCAAACUGUGAACCUGUCGGGAAUAGACUCUUGUUAGACUUGAUAGUAUCUAUGUUUUGUUUGGACUUUUUAUGUGUGCUAUUCUUAUAUAGGAUGUUCUCAGGUGGAGAUGCUUGAAAUGUUCCACUAAUUCACAUUCUUGGCUUCUUCGUGGUGCUUUAAAACUUGUGACACUAUAA